rnacentral:rRNA from 1 species
UGGGUAACCUGCCUCAAAGAGGGGAAUAGCCUCCCGAAAGGGAGAUUAAUACCGCAUAAUAUGUUUAAGUCGCAUGACUUUAACAUCAAAGGAUUUUCUUUAGAAAUUCCGCUUUGAGAUGGACCCGCGGCGCAUUAGCUAGUUGGUGAGGUAACGGCUCACCAAGGCAACGAUGCGUAGCCGACCUGAGAGGGUGAUCGGCCACGUUGGAACUGAGACACGGUCCAGACUCCUACGGGAGCAG